rnacentral:rRNA from 1 species
ACGAACGCUGGCGGCGUGCUUAACACAUGCCGGUCGAACGGAAAGGCCCUGCUUUUGUGGGGUGCUCGAGUGGCGAACGGGUGAGUAACACGUGAGUAACCUGCCCUUGACUUUGGGAUAACUUCAGGAAACUGGGGCUAAUACCGGAUAGGAGCUCCUGCUGCAUGGUGGGGGUUGGAAAGUUUCGGCGGUUGGGGAUGGACUCGCGGCUUAUCAGCUUGUUGGUGGGGUAGUGGCUUACCAAGGCUUUGACGGGUAGCCGGCCUGAGAGGGUGACCGGCCACAUUGGGACUGAGGUACGGCCCAGACUCCUACGGGAGGCAGCAGUGGGGAAUAUUGCACAAUGGGCGGAAGCCUGAUGCAGCAACGCCGCGUGCGGGAUGACGGCCUUCGGGUUGUAAACCGCUUUCGCCUGUGACGAAGCGUGAGUGACGGUAAUGGGUAAAGAAGCACCGGCUAACUACGUG